rnacentral:lncRNA from 1 species
GAGUCCCAAUAAGAACUUUAUCAAGUAGAAUCUGAAGAAAUGAAUAUUAAAGAUCUUGUUUCUUAUUCAAAGCCAUAAAAUAUGUUGAUUCUGAUUGAUAUACCAUGGUUAUUACCACUUUUAGACCAUGAUAGAAGUCCUAUUUUGAGUUUAUUAUAUGUUUUUGGAGUUUGUUUUAGAGUUUUUUUCAGGUUCAGGUAUGUUUUGGGGAACUUUGGAGAUUCAUGAGCUAUUUGAGGUGAAGAACGCACAUAUGCGUCAGAAAUUAGCUAUGGAUGGAGGACUUACACAGUACGAUUGAGCUCAUAUUUUUACACAAGAUAAAAAUUUGAGUUAGCUUUCCAAUGCCACUGGUUUGAGGUCAAUC